UCCUCAGGGAGCGGCUCCUGCAGCGGUCCUGUGCCCCUCUCCCCAGUCUGAUGGAGGCCCGGGCUGUAGCUGCUGCCAAGCUGCUUGGAAGUCACCCAGGUGGGGAUGCUGGCAAGGCCCUUGGGACAGUAGAAAGGCCGCUCUGGAGGCCUCCAGUGCGGAUUGUGCAGCAAGAUCCCCCGUGGCAGCUCCAGAGGAGCGUCAGCACAGAUCUCCGCAGAGACCAACUGCCGAUCUCAUCCCCAG